rnacentral:lncRNA from 12 species
AUGAAAGGAAGACGUAAAACAACAAUAAUUUUUUUUUUUUUUUUUUUUUUUUUUUUUUUUUUUUUUUUUUUUUUUUUUUUUUUUUUUUUUUUUUUUUUUUUUUUUUUUUUUUUUUUUUUUUUUUUUUUUUUUUUUUUUUUUUUUUUUUUUUUUUUUUUUUUUUUUUUUUUUUUUUUUUUUUUUUUUUUUUUUUUUUUUUUUUUUUUUUUUUUUUUUUUUUUUUUUUUUUUUUUUUUUUUUUUUUUUUUUUUUUUUUUUUUUUUUUUUUUUUUUUUUUUUUUUUUUUUUUUUUUUUUUUUUUUUUUUUUUUUUUUUUUUUUUUUUUUUUUUUUUUUUUUUUUUUUUUUUUUUUUUUUUUUUUUUUUUUUUUUUUUUUUUUUUUUUUUUUUUUUUUUUUUUUUUUUUUUUUUUUUUUUUUUUUUUUUUUUUUUUUUUUUUUUUUUUUUUUUUUUUUUUUUUUUUUUUUUUUUUUUUUUUUUUUUUUUUUUUUUUUUUUUUUUUUUUUUUUUUUUUUUUUUUUUUUUUUUUUUUUUUUUUUUUUUUUUUUUUUUUUUUUUUUUUUUUUUUUUUUUUUUUUUUUUUUUUUUUUUUUUUUUUUUUUUUUUUUUUUUUUUUUUUUUUUUUUUUUUUUUUUUUUUUUUUUUUUUUUUUUUUUUUUUUUUUUUUUUUUUUUUUUUUUUUUUUUUUUUUUUUUUUUUUUUUUUUUUUUUUUUUUUUUUUUUUUUUUUUUUUUUUUUUUUUUUUUUUUUUUUUUUUUUUUUUUUUUUUUUUUUUUUUUUUUUUUUUUUUUUUUUUUUUUUUUUUUUUUUUUUUUUUUUUUUUUUUUUUUUUUUUUUUUUUUUUUUUUUUUUUUUUUUUUUUUUUUUUUUUUUUUUUUUUUUUUUUUUUUUUUUUUUUUUUUUUUUUUUUUUUUUUUUUUUUUUUUUUUUUUUUUUUUUUUUUUUUUUUUUUUUUUUUUUUUUUUUUUUUUUUUUUUUUUUUUUUUUUUUUUUUUUUUUUUUUUUUUUUUUUUUUUUUUUUUUUUUUUUUUUUUUUUUUUUUUUUUUUUUUUUUUUUUUUUUUUUUUUUUUUUUUUUUUUUUUUUUUUUUUUUUUUUUUUUUUUUUUUUUUUUUUUUUUUUUUUUUUUUUUUUUUUUUUUUUUUUUUUUUUUUUUUUUUUUUUUUUUUUUUUUUUUUUUUUUUUUUUUUUUUUUUUUUUUUUUUUUUUUUUUUUUUUUUUUUUUUUUUUUUUUUUUUUUUUUUUUUUUUUUUUUUUUUUUUUUUUUUUUUUUUUUUUUUUUUUUUUUUUUUUUUUUUUUUUUUUUUUUUUUUUUUUUUUUUUUUUUUUUUUUUUUUUUUUUUUUUUUUUUUUUUUUUUUUUUUUUUUUUUUUUUUUUUUUUUUUUUUUUUUUUUUUUUUUUUUUUUUUUUUUUUUUUUUUUUUUUUUUUUUUUUUUUUUUUUUUUUUUUUUUUUUUUUUUUUUUUUUUUUUUUUUUUUUUUUUUUUUUUUUUUUUUUUUUUUUUUUUUUUUUUUUUUUUUUUUUUUUUUUUUUUUUUUUUUUUUUUUUUUUUUUUUUUUUUUUUUUUUUUUUUUUUUUUUUUUUUUUUUUUUUUUUUUUUUUUUUUUUUUUUUUUUUUUUUUUUUUUUUUUUUUUUUUUUUUUUUUUUUUUUUUUUUUUUUUUUUUUUUUUUUUUUUUUUUUUUUUUUUUUUUUUUUUUUUUUUUUUUUUUUUUUUUUUUUUUUUUUUUUUUUUUUUUUUUUUUUUUUUUUUUUUUUUUUUUUUUUUUUUUUUUUUUUUUUUUUUUUUUUUUUUUUUUUUUUUUUUUUUUUUUUUUUUUUUUUUUUUUUUUUUUUUUUUUUUUUUUUUUUUUUUUUACUCUCUAUUUAACCGCAUUAACUUACAAUGA